AAUAGAUACCCCGGUAGUCCACGCCGUAAACGAUGAGUGCUAAGUGUUAGAGGGUUUCCGCCCUUUAGUGCUGAAGUUAACGCAUUAAGCACUCCGCCUGGGGAGUACGGCCGCAAGGCUGAAACUCAAAGGAAUUGACGGGGGCCCGCACAAGCGGUGGAGCAUGUGGUUUAAUUCGAAGCAACGCGAAGAACCUUACCAGGUCUUGACAUCCUCUGACAACCCUAGAGAUAGGGCUUCCCCUUCGGGGGCAGAGUGACAGGUGGUGCAUGGUUGUCGUCAGCUCGUGUCGUGAGAUGUUGGGUUAAGUCCCGCAACGAGCGCAACCCUUGAUCUUAGUUGCCAUCAUUCAGUUGGGCACUCUAAGGUGACUGCCGGUGACAAACCGGAGGAAGGUGGGGAUGACGUCAAAUCAUCAUGCCCCUUAUGACCUGGGCUACACACGUGCUACAAUGGACGGUACAAAGAGUCGCGAGACCGCGAGGUGGAGCUAAUCUCAUAAAACCGUUCUCAGUUCGGAUUGUAGGCUGCAACUCG
rnacentral:rRNA from 1 species